UACGUAGGGAGCAAGCGUUGUCCGGAAUCAUUGGGCGUAAAGCGCGCGUAGGUGGCUUCAUAAGUCCGUUGUGAAAGUCAAAGGCUCAACCUUUGAAAGCCGAUGGAUACUGUGAAGCUAGAGUACGGAAGAGGCGAGUGGAAUUCCUGGUGUAGCGGUGGAAUGCGCAGAUAUCGGGAGGAACACCAGUGGCGAAGGCGGCGACCUGGGCCAAUAUUGACGCUGAGGUGCGAAAGCGUGGGGAGCAAACAGG
rnacentral:rRNA from 1 species